CCGUCGUCGUAGGUGAGGCCGACGUAGCCCGCGCUGCAGUUGCCGGCGGCGAGCGGGGCGGCGGCGCCGCGCUGGGCCGCGAGGCCGGCGGUGGCGGAC
rnacentral:tRNA from 1 species